rnacentral:rRNA from 1 species
AGUGAACGCUGGCGGUAGGCCUAACACAUGCAAGUCGAACGGCAGCAUAGUAAGAGCUUGCUCUUACGGGUGGCGAGUGGCGGACGGGUGAGGAAUACAUCGGAAUCUACUUUUUCGUGGGGGAUAACGUAGGGAAACUUACGCUAAUACCGCAUACGACCUACGGGUGAAAGCAGGGGAUCUUCGGACCUUGCGCGAUUGAAUGAGCCGAUGUCGGAUUAGCUAGUUGGCGGGGUAAAGGCCCACCAAGGCGACGAUCCUUAGCUGGUCUGAGAGGAUGAUCAGCCACACUGGAACUGAGACACGGUCCAGACUCCUACGGGAGGCAGCAGUGGGGAAUAUUGGACAAUGGGCGCAAGCCUGAUCCAGCCAUACCGCGUGGGUGAAGAAGGCCUUCGGGUUGUAAAGCCCUUUUGUUGGGAAAGAAAAGCAGCAGGUUAAUACCCCGCUGUUCUGACGGUACCCAAAGAAUAAGCACCGGCUAACUUCGUG